UUCAAUUUUUGAUUUUUCGUCUUAUUCAAAUUUUUUUUGUGAUUGAUAUUUUUGUUUUUAUUAGAUGAUAAAUCAUGAAUAGUAUUUUACGUGUGACUAAUUUUUUUCUAAUUUUUUGAAAAUUUUUCAAAUAAAACGGAUGAUCAAACGCCGGA
rnacentral:pre_miRNA from 1 species